UACGUAGGGUGCGAGCGUUUGUCCGGAAUUAUUGGGCGUAAAGAGCUUGUAGGCGGUUUGUCGCGUCUGCUGUGAAAUCUCAAGGCUCAACCUUGAGCUUGCAGUGGGUACGGGCAGACUAGAGUGUGGUAGGGGAGACUGGAAUUCCUGGUGUAGCGGUGAAAUGCGCAGAUAUCAGGAGGAACACCGAUGGCGAAGGCAGGUCUCUGGGCCACUACUGACGCUGAGAAGCGAAAGCAUGGGGAGCGAACAGG
rnacentral:rRNA from 1 species